UACGGAGGUUGCGAGCGUUGUUCGGAAUGACUGGGCGUAAAGGGAGCGCAGGCGGCUCGUUAGGUCCGGAGUGAAAGCCCGGGGCUCAACCCCGGCGGGUCUUCGGAUACCGGCGAGCUCGAGUACGGAAGAGGAGGGUGGAAUUCCAGGUGUAGCGGUGAAAUGCGUAGAUAUCUGGAGGAACACCGGUGGCGAAAGCGGCCCUCUGGUCCGAUACUGACGCUGAGGCUCGAAAGCGUGGGGAGCAAACGGG
rnacentral:rRNA from 1 species